AACGAACGCUGGCGGCAUGCAUAACACAUGCAAGUCGAACGAUGCCUUCGGGCAUAGUGGCGCACGGGUGCGUAACGCGUGGGAAUCUGCCUUUCGGUUCGGAAUAACUCAGGGAAACUUGAGCUAAUACCGGAUAACGUCGCAAGACCAAAGAUUUAUCACCGAAAGAUGAGCCCGCGUAGGAUUAGCUAGUUGGUGAGGUAAAGGCUCACCAAGGCGACGAUCCUUAGCUGGUCUGAGAGGAUGAUCAGCCACACUGGGACUGAGACACGGCCCAGACUCCUACGGGGGGCAGCAGUGGGGAAUAUUGGACAAUGGGCGAAAGCCUGAUCCAGCAAUGCCGCGUGAGUGAUGAAGGCCUUAGGGUUGUAAAGCUCUUUUACCCGGGAAGAUAAUGACGGUACCGGGAGAAUAAGCCCCGGCUAACUCCGUG
rnacentral:rRNA from 1 species